CGUGGACCGUUGUGUAAUAACGCAUCGUAUCAUUGGUGACACCUACCACAGAUGUGCAAUUCUGCCUCGAGUUGGUGGAACCAGAGGUUGAGGUCGUUCUUCCAAAUCGGUGGCGCUUUCACUGCUACACGGCUAACGGAUGUGUACUGGUCUAGGUGCUCGUCGGAAGGAUCCUGGGAACCAUUCGGCAUCUUGGAAACGGCUUCCGUGUCGAUCGUCGCGUCGGUUAGCUGUUAUCAGCUGUCACCAGUUAUUUAGCGUGCGGUGACGCUAAAUAAAAUGCUGUUGCGUUUUAUGGAAUAUUUACAAAAUGGUAGCCGAAGUGUACCUACGCGGCGAGCGCUGUCGUCGGAGAGAGCGCGGAUGCGGGUUUUCUGCCUGGUGGAGCGUGGUGCGAGAUCGAGCUGGUAAGGCGAACUUGUUCUGCAGGCGGAGAACUGCUUAUUUCUUGGAGCGCCGUCGAAGCAGGAAUUACCUUUGCAGAGUUCGGACCUCUAAUUUUAAACGUUUGCGGUCAGAUGCACUACGCUCUCAUCGGUUGGCCGUUUUGUCCAAUGAGGGCGCAGCACGUUUUAGUGGAGUACGAACCAAAUUGGAUAAAAUUCAAACUAAUGUCAAGUUGAACUUAAUCGAUUCACCGUUCUCAGUGAGGGGGCGUCCGAAGUGGGUACCGACAAAGCGAAUGUAGUAGCCCCCGACAAGAUCUUACUGAUGGUGGAGUCAAAACUGGCUGUAGGUUUCACUUCCGUCGUAACCUACACCAGGUCAAAAUUAACAUUACAGUCGGUGUUGAGUGGCCGAUAGAAUUAUUGCAUGCCAAAAGUUUUGACUCGACGAGUUGAUGUUCGAAGGAUUACAGGACCAUCUUCGUAAUUCUCUAUCUUCAAUCGAGGAUCUCUGUUCGGCCGACUACGCCAAGUUAAUGACUUCUUUUUUGCGAUUCGAAAAUUUAUAACUCUGGUACCCGAAGCAAGACUUUUCAGGAUUUCUGUGAUUUCUUGUUCCUGUGCUCAAUAACGAAUGCAAAUUCAAAGUCAGGUACCUAUUGCCAAAAGGUUAGGUCAACGCGUUUCGUUUCUGCGACCCCCUGUCUACAGGGAUUCCGAGGGCGGGUUAUUUUGGGCUUUGUAAAGCCUACUACUCAGUGAGACAAAAGCAAUUUAAGGGUGGUUAAAGUUUAGCAAUGCAACCAAAGGAAUGGAGGUAGGAGUAUAGACUUCAAGAUAAUGAAAACUCCUUGACAAAAUACGGGACCGUAGUUUACAACGGAUCUUUCCGAUAGUGUAAGGUGCAGGAAAAUAAGUAAAAUUGUACCUAAUUAUACCAUAGGUACAUAUUAAAAGUAUAUUAAAGAUAUUUCCCAAGUAAUAAUAAAGAAAACAAUAUUAAGAAGCCUAUACAUCGUGCAUGAUACUAAUAAAAUAACUAAUAAGA